rnacentral:rRNA from 1 species
AGACUCUGUGCGCGUGCAUAUCAAUAAGCGGAGGAAAAGAAACUAACAAGGAUUCCCUUAGUAACGGCGAGUGAAGCGGGAAGAGCUCAAAUUUGAAAUCUUCCCAAGGUUUUACCUUGACGAAUUGUAGUUAUAUAGAAGUGUUUUCUGUUAGUUUGGAGUGAAAAGUUCUUUGGAAUAGGACAUCAUAGAGGGUGAGAAUCCCGUAUUUGGAUCCGUUACUUUCCAGCUGUGUGAUACACCUUCAAAGAGUCGGAUUGUUUGGGAUGCAGUCCAAAAUGGGUGGUAAAUUUCAUCUAAAGCUAAAUAUUGGCGAGAGACCGAUAGCGAACAAGUACCGUGAGGGAAAGAUGAAAAGAACUCUGAAAAGAGAGUUAAACAGUACGUGAAAUUGUCAAAAGGGAAGCGUUUGACACCAGUGUUGUUUAGUUCCGAAAAUCAAUUCAAUAAUUGAUUCAUGCCAGGUUGUAUUGACCUUAUCAGCUUGCAAUUUGGUUUUGGGUCUCUUUUUGAUGCACUUUUCGGUUAACAAGUCAACAUCAAUUUCCUUUGCUGUAAAAAGGUAAGAGGAAGGUGGCUUCAAUUUCGGUUGAAGUGUUUAUAGCCUUUUAUCUCUGCAGUCGGGGAGAUUGAGGUCUGCAGCGUAGAUCCUUCGGGGCUAGAUACAUUUAUGCUAAGCUAUAGCCUUGUAUAGACAACUUGUUGGCUAUGCUCAGUCAUGUAGCUUACUCGUAGAUGCUAUUUUACCUACGCUUAGGAUGUUGAAGUCAUCGUAUCGCGC